ACAAAUUCCUCUUAGAACCCAGCUGCCCUGCUGUGAGGUAGACAAAGAGAAUCACAUACAGAGGCCCUGGAGGGUAAGACACUUCAUGAGGAAGAGUUAACAUGAAUGAUAGAGAACCAAGACACUCCAGCUGAGUUCCCAGUGGGGAGUGCGCUCUGGACCCCACUGCCAGCAAGGAAGAUUACGGUACAGUGGAGGAAGGGGAGGGCAGGGGGAGGACCCUGGCCCUCUCCCACAGCACUUCCUGCACCCCUAUCAGCAGAGGGAGCAGCUCCCUAGGGGGUCCAGGACCACCCUGGGCCACAGAACAGAAAGGAUGGACAUCUCAGCAGUAAUCUGCGUGGAAGGAUGACCACAGACAAGGUGUCUCCCUGCACCCCAACCCCCCCUGACUUUGUAUAAGACCACAGAACAGAGUCAGACAUCCUGGAGUAUGAAGUCAAGUGGGCUUUAGGAAGCAUCAUUAUGAACCAAGCUAGUGGAGAUGGUGGAAUUCCAGCUGAGCUAUUUCAAAUCCUAAAAGAUGAUGCUGUUAAAGUGCUGCACUCAAUAUGCCAGUAAAUUUGGAAAACCCAGCAGUGGCCACAGGACAGGAAAAAGUCACUUUUCAUUCCAAUCCCAAAGAAAGACAAUGCUAAACAAUGCUCAGACUACCAGACAGUUGUGCUUAUUUCCCAUGCUAGGAAGGUUAUAAUCAAAAUCCUUCAAGCUAGGCUUCAAUAACAUGUGAACCAAGAACUUUCAGAUGUACAAGCUGGGUUUAGAAAAGGCAGAGGAACCAGAGACCAAAUUGCCAACAUCCACUGGAUCAUAGAAAAAGCAAGAGAAUUUCAGAAAAACAUCUACUCCCACUUCAUUGACUUCCUUAACUAAAGCCUUUGACUGUGUGAAGUGAAGUGAAGUCACUCAGUCAUGUCUGACUCUUUGCCACCUCAUGGACUAUAGAGUCCAUGGAAUUCUCC
ensembl:lncRNA